rnacentral:rRNA from 1 species
CUUUGYAGUAAURCAAGGCAKACGGCUCAGUAACRCGUAGUCAACCUACCCUAUGGACGRGRAUAAYCUCGGGAAACUGAGCAUAAURCYCGAUAGAWCAYWAURCCUGGAAUGGUUURUGKUUMAAAUGAUUCGUCGCCAUAGGAUGGGACUGCGGCCUAUCAGCUUGUUGGUGAGGUAAUGGCCCACCAAGGCKAUUACAGGUACGGGCUCUGAGAGGAGAAGCCCGGAGAUGGGUACUGAGACAMGGACCCAGGCCCUAUGGGGCGCAGCAGGCGAGAAAACUUUGCAAUGUGCGAAAGCACGACAAGGUUAAUCCGAGUGAUUUCUGCUAAAGRAAUCUUUUGYHAGUCAUAAAACCACUAGUGAAUAAGGGGUGGGCAAGUUCUGGUGUCAGCCGCCGCGGUAAAACCAGCACCUCAAGUGGUCAGGAKGAUUAUUGGGCCUAAAGCAUCCGUAGCCGGCUCUGUAAGUUUUCGGUUAAAUCYAURYGCUCAACGYAURGGCUGCCGARAAUACUGCAKAGCUAGGGAGUGGGAGAGGUAGACGGUACUCGGUAGGAAGGGGUAAAAUCCUUUGAUCUAUYGAUGACCACCWGUGGCGAAGGCGGUCUACCAGAACACGUUCGACGGUGAGGGAUGAAAGCUGGGGGAGCAAACCGGAUUAGAUACCCGGGUA